rnacentral:rRNA from 1 species
GACGGAAACGACUGCUAAUACCGAAUGUGUUCCGGAGACCGCAUGAUUUCCGGAAGAAAGGAUGGCCUCUAUUUAUAAGCUAUCGCCUGAAGAGGGGUUUGCGUCUGAUUAGGCAGUUGGUGAGGUAACGGCCCACCAAACCUACGAUCAGUAGCCGGUCUGAGAGGAUGAACGGCCACACUGGAACUGAGACACGGUCCAGACUCCUACGGGAGGCAGCAGUGGGGAAUCUUCCGCAAUGGACGAAAGUCUGACGGAGCAACGCCGCGUGAGUGAUGACGGCCUUCGGGUUGUAAAGCUCUGUGAUCGGGGACGAAUGGCUGGUAUGCUAAUACCAUAUCAGAGCGACGGUACCCGAAUAGCAAGCCACGGCUAACUACGUGCCAGCAGCCGCGGUAAUACGUAGGUGGCAAGCGUUGUCCGGAAUUAUUGGGCGUAAAGCGCGCGCAGGCGGCUUCUUAAGUCCAUCUUAAAAGUGUGGGGCUUAACCCCGUGAUGGGAUGGAAACUGGGAGGCUGGAGUAUCGGAGAGGAAAGUGGAAUUCCUAGUGUAGCGGUGAAAUGCGUAGAGAUUAGGAAGAACACCGGUGGCGAAGGCGACUUU